rnacentral:rRNA from 1 species
GUGCCAGCCGCCGCGGUAAUACGUAGGUGGCAAGCGUUGUCCGGAUUUAUUGGGUUUAAAGGGUGCGUAGGCGGCCCUAUAAGUCAGUGCUGAAAUAUCCCGGCUUAACCGGGAGGGUGGCAUUGAUACUGUAGGGCUUGAGUGUAGUCGAGGUAGGCGGAAUUGACGGUGUAGCGGUGAAAUGCUUAGAUAUCGUCAAGAACACCGAUAGUGUAGACAGCUUACUAGGCUACAACUGACGCUGAGGCACGAAAGUGUGGGGAUCAAACAGGAUUAGAAACCCCCGUAGUCC